rnacentral:rRNA from 1 species
AUUGAACGCUGGCGGCAGGCCUAACACAUGCAAGUCGAACGGUAGCACAGAGAGCUUGCUCUCGGGUGACGAGUGGCGGACGGGUGAGUAACGUCUGGGAAACUGCCCGAUGGAGGGGGAUAACUACUGGAAACGGUAGCUAAUACCGCAUAACGUCGCAAGACCAAAGUGGGGGACCUUCGGGCCUCACACCAUCGGAUGUGCCCAGAUGGGAUUAGCUAGUAGGUGGGGUAAUGGCUCACCUAGGCGACGAUCCCUAGCUGGUCUGAGAGGAUGAACAGCCACACUGGAACUGAGACACGGGCCAGACUCCUACGGGAGGCAGCAGUGGGGAAUAUUGCACAAUGGGCGCAAGCCUGAUGCAGCCAUGCCGCGUGUAUGAAGAAGGCCUUCGGGUUGUAAAGUACUUUCAGCGGGGAGGAAGGCGGUGAAGUUAAUAGCUUCACCGAUUGACGUUACCCGCAGAAGAAGCACCGGCUAACUCCGUGCCAGCCGCCGCCGUAA